rnacentral:rRNA from 1 species
AUAAACGUCCAUAGCCCGUUGAAUACACUGGUUCUCGUCCGAUCACCGAAGUUAAGAAACGUCGGGCACGGUCAGUACUUAGAUGCGUGACCGCCUGCGAACACCGCAUGACUUUGGCU